rnacentral:rRNA from 8 species
UCGCGGAUCAGCACGCCGCGGUGAAUACGUUCCCGGGCCUUGUACACACCGCCCGUCACACCACGAGAGUUUGUAACACCCGAAGUCGGUGAGGUAACCGUAAGGAGCCAGCCGCCUAAGGUGGGAUAGAUGAUUGGGGUGAAGUCGUAACAAGGUAGCCGUAUCGGAAGGUGCGGCUGGAUCACCUCCUUU